GAUGAACGCUGGCGGCGUGCCUAAUACAUGCAAGUCGAGCGAACAGACGAGGAGCUUUCUCCUCUGACGUUAGCGGUGGACGGGUGAGUAACACGUGGAUAACCUACCUAUAAGCCAGGGAUAACUUCGGGAAACCGGAGCUAAUACCGGAAAACAUGAUGAACCGCAUGGUUUAACAGUGAAUGACGGUCUUGCUGUCAUAUAUAGAUCGAUCCGCGCCGCAUUAGCUAGUUGGUAAGGUAACGGCUUACCAAGGCAACGAUGCGUAGGCGACCUGAGAGGGUGAUCGGACACACUGGAACUGAGACACGGUCCAGACUCCUACGGGAGGCAGCAGUAGGGAAUCUUCCGCAAUGGGCGAAAGCCUGACGGAGCAACGCCGCGUGAGUGAAGAAGGUCUUCGGAUCGUAAAACUCUGUUAUUAGGGAAGAACAAAUGUGUAAGUAACUAUGCACGUCUUGACGGUACCUAAUCAGAAAGCCACGGCUAACUACGUGCCAGCAGCCGCCGUAA
rnacentral:rRNA from 1 species